AACGAACGCUGGCGGCAUGCCUAACACAUGCAAGUCGAACGAAACCUUCGGGUCUAGUGGCGCACGGGUGCGUAACGCGUGGGAACCUGCCCUUAGGUUCGGAAUAACUCCCCGAAAGGGGUGCUAAUACCGGAUAAUGUCUUCGGACCAAAGAUUUAUCGCCUUUGGAUGGGCCCGCGUUGGAUUAGCUAGUUGGUAGGGUAAAAGCCUACCAAGGCGACGAUCCAUAGCUGGUCUGAGAGGAUGAUCAGCUACACUGGGACUGAGACACGGCCCAGACUCGUACGGGAGGCAGCAGUGGGGAAUAUUGGACAAGGGGCGAAAGCCUGAUCAAGCAAUGCCGGGUGAGUGAUGAAGGCCUUAGGGUUGUAAAGCUCUUUUACCCGGGAUGAUAAUGACAGUACCGGGAGAAUAAGCUCCGGCUAACUCCGUG
rnacentral:rRNA from 1 species